rnacentral:tRNA from 1 species
GCAUUCGUGGUGUAGUGGUCAGCACGCUCGGCACGUACUGGAGAGGUCCGUGGUUCAAGUCCCGGCGAGAGCU